AGUCAGACAGACAGCGUAGCAGAUGGCCGCGCGAGGGGGCGGGGUCCAGGCGGAGCGCGGGGGGACCCCAAGCGUCGGGGCGCGAGGGAACCAAUCAAUUCCCGCAGCCGCUCCGGGGCUAGAAAACAAGUGUAGACGCAGAGAUUCGCGCCCCACCAGCGGUCCCUAGUUUACGGUAGAAAACACGAUUUCCUUUCGAUACGAAAGCGCGUGUAGAGCGUAGUUCGGAGAGCCGGCGGUCCGCAGUAACUGGCUGGGGGAGGCGGUUUGCGGCUGCCCGGGGCGCUGAGCGCUGGGGCAGUUUCUCCUGACCUCUCCCUGAGUCGGGCCAGCCAAGGGGAAAGCCUCGAAUGGGAGAGAGGGGUGAAGGCAGAGGAUGGGUGAGGAAGGAAAGGGCUGAGAAAUGGCAAGAGCCCAUCCUGCCUCGGAAACUACAUAAUGGCAGGGAAGGACCGCCAGCAAGACUGGAACCAGUACAAGUUGCACAGUUGUUUGUGCAUUUGACUCAGCUACAGCAGUAGUUGCACCGGGAGGGGCAAAAUGUCCCCCAAGAGGUAGAGAAGAAAAAAUAGCAAUUGGAGUCGCACAGAACUUCUUAGAUCCUACUGUUGAAGUCUGUGGCUCCUCUCUGGUGAAAUGGAUCCUGGGAAGAUGUGGCACAGAAGGAGAGGAAAUUGUUACCUGUUGAGCUUAAACCCGUGACUUUCCCAUAAUCAUCCCGCAAGUUGCCUAUAACACGAAGAUCAAAAUUGAGGAUUUCUGGCUCCCAGUCUAGGGUUUGUCUUACUACACCAUAGGCUCUCCAACAGAAAGUGUUAGGACAUGAAAAUAUUUAAUAAAUCUGGCCUCUUAAUGUGAAAUAGGAGGGAGUGUGAAAGCCAAAUGUGUCUUGUGUAGUUCAACUCAUUUUCACCUGAGAAACAGUAUAACACAGUGGUUCUGACCUGGGACCCCAAAGGGUCCAUACAGUACCCUCUACACAAAUCCCAUCUCUAGCACUCACCAGCAAUGGGAACCUAGUUGAGUUAUUUAAUGUCUCCAUGCCUCCAUUUCUUUAUCUGUGAAAUGGAGAUGGUAAUUGUACCGAACUCAUAAGGUUGUGGGAGAUUUCAAUACAUUAAUAACUGUAAAGCUCCUAGGAGAAGGCCUGGACCGUAUUUACCACCAAGUAAUUAGGAGCAAUUCUAUUAACAGUAGGCUGUAUAAUAAAGACAAACUAUUUUUAGUUGAACAAAAGAACACUCUUUACGAAUAUUAAUAUUAUUAAUAUUUAUUCCUGCUGUGCUUAUUAGCCACCUCCUGCGGUGAAGGCGUGAAUACUUAAUCCUAAAACAGGGCCCAUUGUUCAGAUAAAUUGCCUGUAGACUGAAAAUCUUGUACUCUUGCGUGCCAUCAGACGUUUUGUGGACAAUUAGCACAUGACUAUCAUGAGUGCUCUUGCUAAUUAAAGUCGCAUUAAUACCAAAGAACUGUACAAUGGCUGGUUCUAUACUGUCAUUUCUGCAAGCUGCAUUGUUCCAAGGACAAAGCGGCUGAUGUACUGUUUCUUUCCUUUCAUAAUGCUGAGCAUGGGUAUCUGAUAGACUUGCUUAGGCUGGCAAACUUUUGAGCAGAAGUGCUAGAUUUGUAUGCAUCUUCGAGAAUUGGGCAGUUUGAAGCUAAAGUGAGCUAGGAAAGAAAUAGGAAGUGAAAAAGUAGAACGGAAAGACAUAGGUAGAUAGAGGAAGAAAAAAGAGGAAGGAGGAAAGAAGGAGACUUGAAAAGACAUGAAAGAUAAAUGAAACCACUUAAAUGGAGAAGAGUUUAAGAGCCAAACAGGAGACACUCCAGGCAGAAGGGUUUUCUAUUGAAGUGUUUCUGAUGCCAGACCAGUGCUUUGCAGGCUGUAAUGUACAUCAGAAUAGACCGGAGGACUUGUUAGAACAAUUUCCUGAGUCCCAUCUGCAGGGAUCCCGAUCCAAUAGGUUAGAGUGGAGCCUAAUGCAAAUUCUAACAAGUCCAGAGGGGGACACUGAGACUGCCGGUCUGAGGACACUUUGAGAACCUCUGGGUCAUACUAUAGUCACACAAAAUAAAAAUAGUAGUUCUCUGCUUUUUUUAAAUUGAGCUAUGUUUUUAUACAUAGUGAAUUGCACAGAUUAUAAUGGUCUUGGUUUGCUACCCUAAGCAAUUCCCUCCUAAGUCAUGUGAAGAUUUACCUGUCUCCAUCGAGGAUAGCAGGAGACUUUUUUGAACACAGUCCUAGUGUCCCCGAAUAAUAAAAUGAACUUCAGUGAGUUUUUUAGCUCUUUGAAGAAAAACAUAUAUUCUAUAACCUGGCAUUGAAUGCCAAAGAACUAGAAAGCACCUACAUUAUCUUGUUUAUUCCUGGAAUAUUCCCAGGCUCAUGUAAGCUAUAGCCCAUUUUUUUAACAUGAAAUUUAUUGUCAAAUUGGUUUCCAUACAACACACAGUGCUCAUCCCAACAGGUGCCCUCCUCAAUGCCUGUCACCAACUUUUCCCCUUCUCCCCCA